GAUGAACGCUAGCGGCAGGCCUAAUACAUGCAAGUCGAGGGGUAAAUAUGUAGCAAUAUAUAUGAGACCGGCGCACGGGUGCGUAACACGUAUGCAACCUACCUUUUACUGGGGAAUAGCUCAGAGAAAUCUGAAUUAAUACCCCAUAAUAUUAUGAAAUGGCAUCAUUUUAUAAUUAAAGCUCCGGCGGUAAAAGAUGGGCAUGCGGAACAUUAGCUAGUUGGUGAGGUAAUGGCUCACCAAGGCUACGAUGUUUAGGGGGUCUGAGAGGAUGAUCCCCCACACUGGUACUGAGACACGGACCAGACUCCUACGGGAGGCAGCAGUAGGGAAUAUUGGGCAAUGGACGAAAGUCUGACCCAGCCAUGCCGCGUGCAGGAUGACUGUCCUAUGGAUUGUAAACUGCUUUUAUAUGGGAAGAAACCCUUGGAUGCGUCCGAGGCUGACGGUACCAUAUGAAUAAGGAUCGGCUAACUUCGU
rnacentral:rRNA from 1 species